GACGAACGCUGGCGGCGUGCUUAACACAUGCAAGUCGAACGGAAAGGCCCUGCUUUUGUGGGGUGCUCGAGUGGCGAACGGGUGAGUAACACGUGAGUAACCUGCCCUUGACUUUGGGAUAACUUCAGGAAACUGGGGCUAAUACCGUAUAGGAGCUCCUGCUGCAUGGUGGGGGUUGGAAAGUUUCGGCGGUUGGGGAUGGACUCGCGGCUUAUCAGCUUGUUGGUGGGGUAGUGGCUUACCAAGGCUUUGACGGGUAGCCGGCCUGAGAGGGUGACCGGCCACAUUGGGACUGAGAUACGGCCCAGACUCCUACGGGAGGCAGCAGUGGGGAAUAUUGCACAAUGGGCGGAAGCCUGAUGCAGCAACGCCGCGUGCGGGAUGACGGCCUUCGGGUUGUAAACCGCUUUAGCCUGUGACGAAGCGUGAGUGACGGUAAUGGGUAAAGAAGCACCGGCUAACUACGUG
rnacentral:rRNA from 1 species